AGCGAACGCUGGCGGCAGGCCUAACACAUGCAAGUCGAACGAACUCUUCGGAGUUAGUGGCGGACGGGUGAGUAACACGUGAGAACGUGCCUUUAGGUUCGGAAUAACUCAGGGAAACUUGUGCUAAUACCGAAUGUGCCCUUCGGGGGAAAGAUUUAUCGCCUUUAGAGCGGCCCGCGUCUGAUUAGCUAGUUGGUGAGGUAAAGGCUCACCAAGGCGACGAUCAGUAGCUGGUCUGAGAGGAUGAUCAGCCACAUUGGGACUGAGACACGGCCCAAACUCCUACGGGAGGCAGCAGUGGGGAAUCUUGCGCAAUGGGCGAAAGCCUGACGCAGCCAUGCCGCGUGAAUGAUGAAGGUCUUAGGAUUGUAAAAUUCUUUCACCGGGGACGAUAAUGACGGUACCCGGAGAAGAAGCCCCGGCUAACUUCGUG
rnacentral:rRNA from 1 species